rnacentral:misc_RNA from 1 species
AGCAGCCGCGGUAAUUCCAGCUCCAAUAGCGUAUAUUAAAGUUGUUGCAGUUAAAAAGCUCGUAGUUGAAUUUCGGGAUCAAUAUUUCGGUCAUGCCGUUGGUAUGCACUGUUAUCAUUGAUUUCUCACCUUCUAAAGAACCGUAAUGCCAUUAAUUUGGUGUUACGGGGAAUUAGGACUGUUACCUUGAAAAAUUAGAGUGUUUAAAGCAGGCUCACGCUUGAAUACAUUAGCAUGGAAUAAUGAAAUAGGACAUCCGAUUCUAUUUUGUUGGUUUCUAGGAUCGACGUAAUGAUUAAUAGGGAUAGUUGGGGGCAUUAGUAUUCAAUUGUCAGAGGUGAAAUUCUUGGAUUUAUUGAAGACUAACUACUGCGAAAGCAUUUGCCAAGGAUGUUUUCAUUAAUCAAGAACGAAAGUUAGGGGAUCGAAGACGAUCAGAUACCGUCGUAGUCUUAACCAUAAACUAUGCCGACUAGGGAUCGGAUGAUGUUAAUUUUAAUGACUCAUUCGGCGUACCCG